rnacentral:rRNA from 1 species
AUUGAACGCUGGCGGCAUGCCUUACACAUGCAAGUCGAACGGUAACGGGCCUUCGGGUGCCGACGAGUGGCGAACGGGUGAGUAAUGCAUCGGAACGUACCUUUCAGUGGGGGAUAACGUAGCGAAGGUUACGCUAAUACCGCAUAUUCUGUGAGCAGGAAAGCAGGGGAUCGCAAGACCUUGCGCUGAUUGAGCGGCCGAUGUCAGAUUAGCUAGUUGGUGAGGUAAAGGCUCACCAAGGCGACGAUCUGUAGCGGGCCUGAGAGGAUGAUCGCCGCCACUGCGACUGCGACACGGCCCCGACUCCUACGGGAGGCACCAGUGGGGAAUUUUGGACAAUGGGGGCAACCCUGAUCCAGCCAUGCCGCGUGAGUGAAGAAGGCCUUCGGGUUGUAAAGCUCUUUCGGCCGGGAAGAAAUCGCACAGGCUAAUACCUUGUGUGGAUGACGGUACCGGAAUAAGAAGCACCGGCUAACUACGUGCCAGCAGCCGCCGCAGUAA